UACAGAAGGUGCGAGCGUUAAUCGGAAUUACUGGGCGUAAAGCGUGCGUAGACGGCUAUUUAAGUCGGGUGUGAAAGCCCCGGGCUCAACCUGGGAAUUGCAUUCGAGACUGAGUAGCUAGGGUGCGGUAGAGGGAAGCGGAAUUUCCGGUGUAGCGGUGAAAUGCGUAGAUAUCGGAAGGAACAUCAGUGGCGAAAGCGGCUUCCUGGACCAGCACUGACGUUCAGGCACGAAAGCGUGGGGAGCAAACAGG
rnacentral:rRNA from 1 species